rnacentral:other from 1 species
UGCCGUCUGCGGGGUUUGGCAGUUGGAUUAAAAUAGGUUCAAUCCCAACGCUUCAACCCCGGGUUCUGCCUCUGUCCGAACCGCGCAAGCUCCUCGUUAAAGUGGAGGAGAAGCAGGCUUUGGGUAUGUGGGACCCACCUUAAUUGGAUGCGGGGUUGAUCAUGAUCCGGCACCGGCUCCGCGGACGGUUU